rnacentral:misc_RNA from 1 species
CAGCUUCGUGAAGAGCUUCGAAUAUCUAUAUCAGAAAAAGUUAUACCAGCUUACCGAGCAUUUUUGGGAAGGUUUGGAAGUCAGCUAGAGAGUGGAAGGCAUGCUGGAAAAUACAUUAAGUAUACAGCAGAGGAUUUAGAGAAUUAUUUACUGGAUCUGUUUGAAGGGACGCCUCUUGUUCUUCACCACAUGAGAAGAAA